AGGGCUAUCUGGUACCUUAGCGUCCAGCAAGAUAAAGCCACAGAGCCACAGGCAGGGCCGGAUUAACAUAGGGGCUGAUGGAGCUGCAGCUCCAGGCCCAGGCCCAUGGAAUAGGCCCAUUGAUUUAAAAAAAAAAAAAUUUUUUUUUUUUUCAUUUUUUUUUUUACACACUACUCUUAGGGAUUCCACCUGGCUUUUAUUUUAUUGGCACAGCCAGUAUUUGAGGCUGCCUGACUAGUGCCAAUAGUGCAGUGAUACUGGCAAUAUAAAUGCUGGUAUUUUUCUCAGUUUAAACAAGAGAUUAAUAUGCAAUACCAGCACUGGCCAGUAGGGGUCACUGUAUGUGGAGACAGGCAGGGAUAGGAAGUUCCAGCAUAUCCCUCCCUGCCUAUCUAUACUCACUGAUCUGCAGGGGUGCAGCUACAGAGAGUCCAGACAGCAACUCCCACCCUGCAGAAACAGCCUACAGCUCAGGGAAGUACGGGAUGGGGGAAAAGGCUGCAAGGAGACAUACACUGAGACACUAAGGGGCACUGGGAGACAUUAUGGCAGACACUGGGAGACAUGGGGACACUGAGACUCUAAGGGACAUUGGGAGACAUUAUGGCAGACACUGAGACACUAAGGGACACUGGGAGACAUGGGGACACUGAGACACUAAGGGACAUUGGGAGACAUUAUGGCAGACACUGAGACACUAAGGGACAUUGGGAGAUAUUAUGGCAGACACUGAGACACUAAGGGACAUUGGGAGACAUUAUGGCAGACACUGAGACACUAAGGGACAUUGGGAGACAUUAUGGCACAGACACAUGGGGACACAGUGUCCCCAUGUCUCCCAGCCAGUGUCCCUGGUGUCUCAGUGCCCCCUAGUCUCCCAGUGACCCCUAGUCUCCCAGUGCCCACAGUCUGCCAGUGCCCACAGUCUGCCAGUGCACACAGUCUGCCAGUGUCUCACUAUCCCCAUGUCUCCUAUUGCCUCAAUGUCUCUCAGUGCCUCAAGUGUCACAAUGCCCCCCAAGCUAGUGUUCCUAGUGUCUGUGGCCCUGGUGUCUCAGUGUCCCCAUGUCUCCCAGUGCCCCCAUGUCUCAAUGUCCCCAUGUCCCCCAGUCAGUGUCUCUAGUAUCUUUGUCCCUGGUGUCUGUGUCCCCAUGUCUUCAGGUGUCCCCUAUUUUCCCAUUGUCCCCAUGUGUCCCCCUAGUCUCCCAGUGUCACUGGUGUCUCCUUGUCCCUAGGUCUCCCCGUGUCCCCAGGUCUCCCCGUCUUCCUAGUGUCCUAGUGACAUGGGGACACAGGGAGACAUGGGGACACAGGGAGACAUGAUACAUAGGAUACAUAGGAUCACUGGGAGACCUGGGGACACAACAUUAGGGGACACUGGGAGACAUGGGGCACUGAGACACUGAUACAUAGGAACACUGAGACCUGGAGUAAUCGACACAUGGGGGCACUGAGUCAUGAGGGCACUGGGAGACAUGGGGGCACUGGGAGGAAUCCAUCUAUACAGCAGAAUUUAAACUAAGUAGUUUUUUGGUGAUUUUACAGCAUUUUCUCUUAUGUCACUCCUUGUGAUUUACAUCAUGUGAUGUCACCCAUACAUAUUUAAUUAUGCAAAUUAGUAAGGCCGGUAUGUUUUUCCAAGAAAGGUGGCAACCCUAACUACUUUUCACAUACUCUUACUUAAGUAUGGAAACUUAAGAGGGAUGUAUGGGAACAAAACUUGUGUGGACUGGCUGACAAUGAAUAUAGUUAAAGGGACACUAGAGUCACCAGAACAACUACAGCUUAUUGAAUUUGUUCUGGUGAGUAGAAUCAUUACCUUCAGGCUUUUUGCUGUAAACACUGUCUUUUCAGAGAAAAUGCAGUGUUUACAUUACAGCCUAGUGAUAACUUCACUGGCCACUCCUUAGAUGACUGUUAGAGAUCCUCCCUGGGUCAUGGCUGCCUAAAAUGCAUCCAAACAUUCAGUAUCUCCUCCCUCUGCAUGCAGACACUGAACUUUCCUCAGAGAUUCAUUAAUUACAUUAAUCUAUAUAAGGAGAUGCUGAUUGGCCAGGGCUGUGUUUGAAUCAUGCUGGCUCUGACCCUGAUCUGCCUCUUUGUCAGUCUCAGCCAAUCCUAUGGGAAAGCACUGUGAUUGGAUCAGGCCACCACUUCUAAUGAUGUCAGCAGACUGCUUGUUUUUAUGAGCCUAACAGCAUGCAGAGUUACAGCUUCAGGCUUGAAUAUAGUAGGAUUUUGCUAUAUUUAUGGAGGCAUCAGGGGCCCAGGGGGGCUAGAUGGUGGUGUUAACACUAUAUGGUCAUGAAUUCAUGUUUGUGUUCCUGACCCUAUAGUGAUCCUUUAAGGUAAUGCUGACUUUGGUCUCUCUAACACUGUGGCAUGUUCCCUUUCUUCUACACUCACUACAUACAGCUUUUCUCUGUCCCAGACCAUAUACCAGGAGCUUCUGCCUGCUAGUAAGAAGGUAAGGAGACUAGUGGACCAGCGAGUGCGAGGGGACAGUCCUUAGAAAGCGUUGAGUGAGCGCAUCAUUAGAUGCAUUUAUGCCAAGCUCAGGGUGCUGUCUGCAUAGUAUGCCCUUAGUUGGCUAGCUGCAUGAUUGGCAGGCAGUCUGACAUGCAUUCAUGCCAGGGUGGCCUUCUAAUUCUUUGAGCAGACAUGUCCUUUUUUUGGGCAUGUUCGCCCCUUUUGGCAGGUUACGUGAUUUGUGUCAAUGGCACACCCUUUUACCAUGCCCAUUGACUUCCUGCUUGACUGGACACUGCUGUUAGGGGUUAUGGAUUACUUGAAAGAUGAAAACAUAAAUUAGAGAGAGAUUAGCCUAGGGUAUGUGUUUUCUUAUAGCUGCUGUUUUCUUUCUCUCCAGCACCAUCUCCAUCUCCAUCAGAUACAUGAUGCUUGGGAGUGUUUUACUGUUUUUGGUCGAUAUGAUUCUGUAAUUAGGCCCCUCAUAAUUGUCAGCACCAGGCCCACUGGGCUCUUAAUCUGGCCCUGGCCACAGGAGGUAGCCCAUGAGCCUCCACUGCCGCAGGUAAAUAAAAUAAGAAUGGAACAAAAUACUUACAACCUGCCUCCAAAAGCGAAAGGCAGACACAGUGUCUUGAGGGUUGUGCUGGAUCAUAUACCAAAGAGAGAAGGUACUUAAAGUGAUUCCUACCCAUCCAAAACUGCCAAAGCAAAAUCUACAUUAGUACUGCCGCUAUCCAUAUGGGGAGGUGGGUGGUGGAAAACUUAGGUGUUUCUAAAAGAAGGCUCACUUGACCUGUGUGUGAGCAGUUGGCAGAAAGGCUUUAUAGAAGAGAGCUGGUGGGCUUUGCAGCUGUACUGGGAUUUAAAUGCUGAAAACUGGAAAAGCAGAGCACCAUUUUGCCACCAAGUGCAGUGAUUGCUUUUAUUUUCACAGUGAAGCUUGUAC
rnacentral:lncRNA from 1 species